rnacentral:tRNA from 1 species
AGUUAUAAAGCUGUGUAACAGCAUGCGCCUUGAAAGCGCAAGAAAGGAGAUAAUUACUCCUAAUAACUU